GGGGCUGUGGCCAAGCCAGGAAUGGCGACGGGCUCCAGACCCGUCGAUCAGGGGUUCAAAUCCCUUCAGCCCCA
rnacentral:tRNA from 1 species